GUCAGCAGCCAUAUCACCCUGCAACUCACAACUGGCAACCCACUGAAGCUCAGCAGGUGUGAGCCUGGUCAGUACCUGGAUGGGAGACCUCUUAGGAAAAACUAAGGUUGCUGCUGGAA
ensembl:rRNA 5S_rRNA 5S ribosomal RNA